AGUCCAUGACUUGGGCAUUUCCUUAAUAAGUCUGUAAAUCUCUUCCAAACUUCGGCAAAUGACUCAUCAAAUUUUUGUCGGAAUGAUGCGAUCUUCUCUCUCAAAUU